ensembl:lncRNA
GUUUAGGUUGUAGUAAUAUAGCUUGUCCUUCUAAAGAACUAAGUUAAAUUCCACAGUUGAAUCAUAAGAAACAUUAUGUUACAUAUAAACCCUGCCAUAUGUUAGAUCUGGUCAUUUUGCUUAUUAGAAACUUUAUAUAUUCGAAGUUGACUUUUUAACAAGCAUGUAAUGAUUAUAUUUAAAUUAGGUGGUCUUUUUUUAAACACAUAUCUCUUUAGGCCUAAACUGACAGUGCCAAUACCACACAUUCAGACACAGUAGUAGAUGGUGUUUUUAAUACUAUAUGUGUUAGUCUAAUUUGGUUGUAUGGGGUCUACAUUGACCUUCUGUGUUGUAAGUUACAAUGAUUGCACAGCCAUUAAGGAUCAAAUCGGUUUCUGAAAAAUGUUCUGUUUUUUCUCCCUCUGCUUGCUUCUUACUGUCUUUGAGGCCGAUCGGGACCAGCACUCCUGCUGUUGGACAGAAAGACAUCAACUCAGUGACUUGAGAUAUGACUGCACUAUGCUGUUGCUGGUGACCACAGUUAAUUCUACAAGACAUGCUGUGACAACAGGAGAGAUGAGUCCUCCGUCACAGAUGGUGUGGUCAGUGAAGAUGGUCGCCUGCAGGUUCAAGCUCAUUGCAUCUCCAACCCACAUCCACUGCCACUGUACUUAAGGGAAGUUAAAGACUUUCUUCUGCACCUGCAUUUGGAUCACCUCGAUCCAUGACAGUCAUUCAGGCAGUAAUGCCUGGCCUGGAAACAAGCAUCCUUAAAAUAAUACAACAUUCCAGCUGCUGUGUUGAAAUGGAAAACAAAUGUGUUGUUUAAAUUAGAGACUGCACUUGUGACAGAACAAUAAAUAUUUUAUUUUGAUUAUAUAAGUAAUGUAAGUACAAAACAAACUUGUGGUAGGCCUAAACUUAUUUUCAGAAUAAUUACAUCUGAGACUUUGUUUCAUUGUAAGAUUAUAACAGUGAUGGCAAUAUAAUUGUUUGUUGUUCAGCAGAACAGUGUCCAGUAUGUUGGCUGUUAUACUUUGUUGUGUUUGAAAAUAAAAGCUGGGCUGAUUUUAACAUCAUUACAAAAAGUGUUGUUAAUUAUUUUUAAUCAUAUUCAGGUUACCACAAAUUGUUUUUUCAUGUAGUUGAACUUGAAAUGUUUGUCAGUAGGUAAACAAUUAGUAUUGUACAGUCAGAAAUAUCAAGUUAUUGUUAAUGCUGCAGACUUGCAAUGUAUAAGUUGUCCUAACAGUCAUCUUAAGUAAGCUUUACUUAGUUUUUUUGAGGCAACGAGUUUCCAUAUUUUUUUUGAGUUCUGGGAACUAAAUAGGUUUUUACUCCAUACUUAAAGUGAAUAAGUUGCCUUAACUUAGUCAUCUUAAGUAAACUUCACUCAAUUUUUUUGAGGCAACGAGUUUGCAUAGUUUUUUUGAGUUCUGUGACCUAAUUAGAUUUUAUAGUGCAGUCAAGAUUUUGGAGGCUGCGUGGACGUGAGGAUGUGUGAAAGCUCUUCUCACUCUCUGUCAAACCAGAAUCGUAUACGUGGACUGAAGAUCAGACUAAAGAUGGAUACAGGACAACAAACACGAUCUGAAAGAGUUUGGAGUAAAGGUCUAGUAUUGAUGCAAAGAAUCGUCUCUGUGGGUGCAA